rnacentral:rRNA from 1 species
AACGAACGCUGGCGGCAGGCUUAACACAUGCAAGUCGAACGCAUGCCUUCGGGCAUGAGUGGCAGACGGGUGAGUAACGCGUGGGAACCUACCCCUUGGUACGGGAUAGCUCCGGGAAACUGGAGAUAAUACCGUAUGUUUCCUGAGGGACAAAGAUUCAUCGCCAAGGGAUGGGGCGGCGUCGGAUUAGCUAGUUGGUGGGGUAACGGCCUACCAAGGCGACGAUCCGUAGCUGGUCUAAGAGGAUGAUCCGCCACAUUGGGAGUGAGACACGGCCCAAACUACUACGGGAGGGAGCAGUGGGGAAUAUUGGACAACGGGCGCAAGCCUGAUCCAGCCAUGACGCGUGAGUGAUGAAGGCCCUAGGGUUGUAAAGCUCUUUCACCGGUGACGAUAAUGACGGUAACCGGAGAAGAAGCCCCGGCUAACUUCGUG